UACGAAGGGGGCUAGCGUUGCUCGGAAUCACUGGGCGUAAAGGGUGCGUAGGCGGGUCUUUAAGUCAGGGGUGAAAUCCUGGAGCUCAACUCCAGAACUGCCUUUGAUACUGAAGAUCUUGAGUUCGGGAGAGGUGAGUGGAACUGCGAGUGUAGAGGUGAAAUUCGUAGAUAUUCGCAAGAACACCAGUGGCGAAGGCGGCUUACUGGUCCGGUUCUGACGCUGAGGCGCGAAAGCGUGGGGAGCGAACCGG
rnacentral:rRNA from 1 species